CGGGAACCAUAACCUGUCCUAUACGGGAUUAGUAAGUCCUAUGGUCAUGUGGAGCUCGAUGCAUACCAGGUUUGGAGCUCGUGGGUGGACAACGCCUUGUUUCGAUAGCUCUGAAGAGGUAGAAGAAGAAGGGACAGUAAUUGAAAACAAGAUGAAAGUGUUGCAGAAGAAAGACAGCAUGUGCAAGAUGCAGCCUUCUGAAGAAAAUUCAAAGAAAUUUUGGAGUAUUUGAGG